ACUCUGGGUGCACCUGUAACUCUUUUUCAUUCAUGGAUUUUUAAGAACCAUAGCUUCAAAGGCCAUCAUAUCCUUGUGUUACCCAGCAGCAUCCACAAGCUCCAUCCUAUAAAAUACAUACAGUCGUAGGAGAAGCGGGCAGAGUGGCUGGGCCACUCCCAUCUCUCAGCACCCCCUAUUUCCAGUCAUAGUCCGUGGCUUCUCUAGGACUUACUUCAGAGUCAGAUUUUCUCAGGCGUAGAAGCUCCUCACACUGCCCAAGGCAUCAGCUCUCCAGCUAAGCCCUGAAAUACUUGCUCUCUGGGAGAGCUGGUGGUUCCUUUUCCUUCUGAACAUUCUUCUUAUCCAUGUUUGUCCCCACAGCACCGUGCACAGCUUCUUAGAGUAGCCUGGAAAGUGCUCCCGGGAUUGUGCGGAGCUGGGAAGGAAAACGGAGGCUGUUUUGAAGAGCUGCACUGGAGCAUGAAAGAAACGUGUUUAUAAAUCAAAAUCAACUGCCCAGGCCCCGGAGAGCACAGCCCUUCAGGGAAGGGGCUGCAGGCUCUAUCUGGAAUCACAGGCCAGCACCACCAGGCCCAGCUUGAGAUGUGAAUUUGAGAGUCGCGAGCAUGUAACAGAAGAGAAGCCAUGGAUCUGAGGAAGUCUCCUGAGGAACCAAGGCUGGCAGUGUGUUUGGAAUGUAAUGGGAACGAUUCAGGGAAGGGAGACAGAAACACUGACCACAAGGCAAGAAGGAACAGGACCCUGCACCCAAGUGGCCGUGAACAAGGCCCUGGGGAAUCCAUGUGGGCAGAGGGUCUCAGCCCUUGAGAAACACCCCAGAGCAUCUCCCAGGGAUUUAUCUGUGCACAAACUGAUAUCGUGGACAUCUUCAUUGUACUGUUCGCCACCUUGUCGGACAGAUCUGAGCUGAGACCAUAAUAGGCCACGAUGGGUAGGACCACACCUCAGCCAGGUGUGCGCACUGCUUUCCCUCUACUUAAACCCGGACCCUGAAGACGGACUCGGGGGUCACUGGAUCCCUUCACCUGUUCCUCUUCCCACUGAGGCCAC